AAAAGUUUGCGCUGCGUUUAGUUAUUGCAAUUUUGCUAUUAUUGUAGGCUAGCAACACUGACAAUUUGGUCUAUUUGUGUGAAAAAGUUAUGUUGAACGCACUUUUUUGACGUCAUGAAUGCGCGAAUAUUUGAAAUUGACAUUCCGUUUUUUUAGAAAAGGAAAUCCAACGAAAUUGUAGAAAGGCAAUGUUUUAAAAUCCUAAUAUCUACCACUCUAAAAUAUCUGACUGUGCAAAUUUAUAGUAAACCAUGGCCAUGAACUUUAGGAUCAGUGUUAUCUCUUUAGGAAUUCUGCUGUUGAUGUUUUAUGUUUCAGGAUCUGAAUGUAAGCCAAUUAAGGAUACACUUGGCUCAAUUACAAAUUUAAGUGAUACAGAACCACAAGGAUACACUCAAUAUUUACGUAAAGCCCUGAUGGAUGCUAGCCACGUUUUAGACAACAUGCUACAGAAGGGCAAAAUGAGACUAAUGGACCUACCUUUUGAAGGCUGGGUCAUGUGAUCAACUCGUAACAUGGUUUCCUUUAGUUGAACCAAAUGUAGUUAUAUCAUAUGGUCUCUUCAGUCAUAUAUAUAUAGUCUUCAGUUCUAUUAUUGUGCCUGUGAGUUGCCAUCACAGCACAUUUUUUCUUAUAUCAGAUGUAAAGUGUAGACAGCAGUCAUAGUCAUGAUAAGAACUACAGACACUAUGUUAAUAUUUUUAUUGGCUAUAAACUUUAAGAGCCCAUCAACAUGUUCACUAGUGCCACUGGAAAAUAAUUGUGAUUAUUUUUAUUUUACGAUAGAUAUUUAAAAAAGGGGGCCGCUACGUACUGUAUUUUGUAUUUAAGUACCUUCUGAAUACAUAAAACUAGUUUCUAUGUUGCUGGAUUCGUUGAUCUAUGAACUCAAAACAAAAACGGCCGUUUUAACUUUGGACGCCUAGGUUGAGGAAUCCAGCAACGUAAAAACUAUUCUGAUGUAUUCAAAAGGUACUUAAAUAUUACGUACAGUACGUAGCGGCCCUUUUUUAAAUAUCUAUCGUUAAAUUUAAAUAAUCACAAUUAUUUAGCAGUGGCGCUAGUGAGCACGUUGAUGGGCUCUUAAACUUCACUGAGCUACAUUUGGUUUGUGUUAUAGAGCCAUAUUCAAAUGUAAUGCAAUAUUUUGAAUAAAUGCAUGUCUUGGGCAUGAUAUGUCAUGUUUCAAGUAAUGCAUCUGAAAUAAAAGUCAUACUGAUCACAA